rnacentral:misc_RNA from 1 species
CACGGCCGACAGUGCGCCUCGCGUGCUCUCGACAUGGUUGUGCCGUGGACCUCCGCUGUGGUGGCGGUGAUUCUCCUGGCCGGCCCGGCACGCGCUGCCACCGACGGCGAUGGUGCCGCCCGAGAGCUGUUCGACAGAUACUUCGACUGGCGGAUGCAGGACAACCCGGAGUUCGCCACCGUGGCUGACGCAGAUGCAGUCGUAUCUGACUGAGGUGUCGAAGCUGUUGAAGGACGACCUCAGCUACCACACCAGGGUCAGCGCCACCGUACUGAGGGACAACUUAGUCGCCUUCGUAGACGGAGAAACGUACAAAGGAUACCUCUUCCCAUCAACAUAUCUAUACAGCGUCGGAAAAGCUCUGAGCAAAGUGAUAAAACACAUGCCUUUUAAAAACGAGCAAGACUAUCGCAACCUUCUAAAAAGGUAUGGCGCGUUUCCGAGAAAAGUGGAGGAAGUCAUCAUGCUGCUCAGAAUGGGCAUUGAGGAAGGAAUGGUGCUGCACAACGUUUCAAUGGAGACACUGCCAGCACAACUGCGGCACAGAACGUCUCCCUUGACGACUCCAGCUACUUCGCGCCGUUCCUGAAGAUGCCUGAAGAAAUUCGGGAUCCGGUCCGUUCUGAGCUGCAGAUGAAAGGGCGGCAGGCUGUCCAAAUUGAAGUUAUCGGUCAUCUGCUGAAGCUAGCGGACUUUGUUGAGUCGGAAUACCUGCCGAACACCAGGGAGGAGGUAGCUGUGACGUCACUGCCCAACGGGCCGGCGUUCUACGAGGCGUGUCUCCGGUAUCACACCUCGACAAAACUCACGGCGGAGGAGAUCCAUCAGAUGGGCUUGGAUGAAGUGGAAAGGAUUGAGGGCGAAAUGAAAAAGAUAGCCACCAGUCAGGGAUUCCGUGGUGCCAACACUAGUUCGUUUUCGGAGCAGCUGCGAAGCGACCCAUCCAACUACCACAGCAGUCCCGAGGCACUAAUGGCAGGCUUCACGGACAUGAUUCAGAACCGCAUACAACAACACCUGCCUGCUGUCGUCUGGGAACUGCCAGUCGAUGACGUCAUGUAAGCGAAAUGACUGGCCUGGUAUGAAUCGGUGAGGCCUGAUUGCCAACCGAGCCGUAUAGCAAGGCUUAACUCGAUAUCACAUUGCCAUGAUUUCCAGCGGUGACACAGAACGAGCAAGUCUUAAGGUCGUGUCUAAACGAAGAUCUUGUGGCUGUAGUGACCCGCCCAGACAAGCUGGUGCUGGCUUAUAUCGUCGUAGCUUCUG